AUGAUCUGCCAUAAAAAAAAGUUAAUUUAUCACUAAGCACUAUUCAAGCCCGAAAUCUUUCAAAAAAGGUUGGUUUCGUUCGAAGGGGCGAAAUGGUUUUAUCAAACAGUAGUUCCCGAAAAAUAAAAACCAUACUAUCCACCAAAACAGCGGAAAUUUUAAAUUUCUCAUGCCACAUAAGCGAGCCCAAUGAGUUUCAAGAGGAUGAACUCUAUUUUACAACCCGCUUAGUAGGGACACUUGCUCUGGUAACUGCAGAUGGAGCAUAGCUGCAAAAGUUGGAUCUGUAAGAUCUUAGGGCGGCAAGUAAAGACCGUGCAUGUGGACGGUCUCUACGGCUUUCCCACAAGGACACUUUGCGGACACUUUGCCAGUUGCAAGAAGAAGCUGAAGAUCCUGACGCCGAAGAUCCGCCCCCACACACCCAGCAAAUGGGGAUAAGUCCCGCUCUGCUCAAAGAAAAACCCUACGAACUGAAUCGCCACAACACCAAAAGUGAAAAAUAAUGAAAUAAUGAUGAUACAAGAUGCAAGAUGAUCAUUGCACCAUAAAAAGUAUUAUUCAUUUUCGUAUUAAAUAACAGAUCUGGAUAUUCCUAUAUGGGGGAAAAUGUCAGCAGGCACACCACAGCCACCUGCUGAUCCAAACGAACCUCAAAUAAGGUUCGUUGAACCUUCCAUUAUCAAGGACGAAAACUACUAUCAACGACGCUUUGGAAUAAAUCACCCAGAAUCGAGCCAAGCAGCAAAACUCAGCCUAACCUCGGAGCAAAUGCAACAUUUCGGGAAGUUGCUUUAUCGAUCAAAGAGGUCUGACUAUAUAGCGAACAGUUCCAAUCAAAUGGAAAGCCAUUUCGCAUUCCAUUAAUGAGUAAAUGAAAAUUAUGCUUUAUUUAACAAUUCCUGGUACUUGAUUAAAAAAGAAUGUAAUUGAUUAGAACUAAGCAUUAACAUUAUACAUAUGUAUAUUAUCCAAAACCAUACCUUCGACAAAUACAUACUACUGUAAAGUGUGCAUAGUAUAAGUUGUACAACAAGAGCCCUUUCAUUUCUUUUUAAGUAAGCAAUUACGGCAUUUUAACGUUCAUAAUUUUGACUGUUGUGUAUAAUUUUAAAAAUGCAUUUCAAUUGCCCAAAGUACACAGUCAAUCUCACGUCGAGUGCACUUCUUGUCCUUAGUACUUGUAACGAUAAAUGGCAACGCCAGCGACGCCAAUCAAUAUGGAACCCAUUAGAUAG